AAUGAGCAAGAUGGGCUGAGACCCAAGAGCGCUACAUUGUAACUACAGGAGUCUGCUGGAUUCCAGAGUAAUAGAACGCAGAUGCUCCAGCGUGUUUGCUGUCCUUGGGACACACCUCCAGUCGUAACAAGCCAGAGCAAUGAGACCACAAAGAGGCAUAACAGGCCUCAUUCUUGUUGACUGUCCAUCGAGGGACCCAUAGUCACUGGCCUGGGGGUUUUCUUCAGCGUGGCUGCUGACUACAUCAAGCAAGUGCCUGCACCUAAGACAGAGCUUAUUCAUUGUAGAGUAACCAGGAAGCGCGGAAGAAUGUUGUCACCUUUCCAGGUUUAUUAGAGGCUGCGAGAGGGGACAUCUGCAGGAGGAUUUGUGUGUGGUGAAGGUACUCCAAGGACUGCCUGGCUGAAAAACAUCCCAUACCCGGUGAGCAAGAAGUGCAAGGGCCCUGGGGUGAGAGUGAACCUUACCAACCCCAGGAGCAGCAGGACGCUGGGGCCUAGAGGUGAGUAGGGAUCCAACAGACAGGGAUCGUGGGCAGGCUUUAAAUUUCCCUGUAAGUACAAUAGCAGCUCUUGGGGGGCUUGGGUCUGGGGAGGAUUCUAACUUGAUUUAUCCGUUUCGCUGCCUUUAGUACUGAGAGCCAAGAGACCAUCGAGAGCUCUGGGGACAGGGAAUGGCUUAGUUAAUGAAAUGCUCCCAUGCGAGCAUGAAGACCAGAGUUCAAGCUUUAGAGCUGACUCACACAAGUUGGGCGUGGUGCAUGAGCUGGAGAGACGGACAGGGAGGGGGCUUCUUGGGACUAGCUGACUGGUCAGUCUAGCCAAAUAAGAGAGUUCUGGGUUCAUGACACUGUCUCAAAGGAGGUGGACGGUGUUCUUGAGGAUGAUACUCAAGGUUGUCCCUAGCUUCCCAUACACAUCUGUGCAUGCAUACACACACACACACACACACACACACACCACACACACACACACACACUCACACACACACACUUGAAAAGAAAUGUGCCAGUCACCAGUCUGACACCACAGUCUUCUCUAGCACCUGUAGUUCCUCACACAUACACAUCUCUUUCCAGGAAUGCCUCUACCCAUGCUUUUUACAAAGUUCCUGCUCAUUCCUGAGGUCCCAGAUCCUACACACCCUUCUGGGGAUCCCUUGAUCCUCUCCUACGCAGUUUGAAUUCACAUUCUCACUCAUUACCAGUUCCAGCCAUGGGCACACAUAGUGUGUCUCUGGUCCUUCCCUCCACUAGGCCAAGUGUCCUUCAGACGCUAACAUCUCACUCUGGUGUGUCUCAGAGACCACAGGCCUUCCCUAGCCUGCUCUGGGGGUGAAGCCUGACAAAUGCUUUCUGGGUUGAUGUGAGCUAUUUAAGCACCUGAGUCACUGGCUGAAGCACCAAGUUAACAAGCGCCCUUUGAACAAGCGAGAUUAGAAGUAUCACACUGUUCUUCCUGGUGACGCUCCAGCAAAUCCACAUUUUCUGGGACUCCUGACCCAUGGAGGGUGUUCCUCAGUGUUUUCUAAAAAUCAGUAGCCAGUGAGAGUCAAAUUUGAAUAGAUAUCUCUCAAGAGCCAGUCCUGUAUUAUCUUGAGACAAGUGUUUGUUAAAAAAAAAAAAAAGAUCCUAGUUGCUAAAAUGCAUCUUGUAAAUACUUGUGUUUGAAAAUGUACACUUGCAGGAUGCUUGGUUCCUGUACAUGUUCGCUUGCGACUGUAAAUCUGUUUGUCACAGAUGCUUCCGAUGCCUGCUUGUUGUUUUCUUUUUCUUAAUUAAUCUAUUGAUGUUGAAUUAUGCGUCUUUUCCUAUGAAGCUAGAAGUGUAUUUAAAAGCUCAUUUCCUUGUCUGAGACACGUGCAAAUAAAAGUUCAAGAAGAUUGAAA